rnacentral:rRNA from 1 species
UACGUAGGGUGCAAGCGUUAUCCGGAAUUAUUGGGCGUAAAGAGCUCGUAGGCGGUUUGUCGCGUCUGCUGUGAAAACUGGAGGCUCAACCUCCAGCCUGCAGUGGGUACGGGCAGACUAGAGUGCGGUAGGGGGAGAUUGGAAUUCCUGGUGUAGCGGUGGAAUGCGCAGAUAUCAGGAGGAACACCGAUGGCGAAGGCAGA